rnacentral:rRNA from 1 species
GACGAACGCUGGCGGCGUGCUUAACACAUGCAAGUCGAACGCUGAAGCCCUUCGGGGUGGAUGAGUGGCGAACGGGUGAGUAACACGUGGGUAAUCUGCACUGCACUCUGGGAUAAGCCUUGGAAACGGGGUCUAAUACCGGAUAGGACACAUCGCCGCAUGGCGUGUGUGUGGAAAGUUCCGGCGGUGCAGGUUGAGCCCGCGGCCGAUCGGCUUGUUGGUGGGGUGAUGGCCUACAAAGGCGAAGAAGGGUAGCCGGCCUGAGAGGGUGACCGGCCACACUGGGACUGAGACACGGCCCAGACUCCUACGGGAGGCAGCAGUGGGGAAUCUUGCGCAAUGGGCGAAAGCCUGGCGCAGCAACGCCGCGUGGGGGAUGACGGCCUUCGGGUUGUAAACCUCUUUCGACCGGGACGAAGGAUUCGUUUGACGGUACCGGUAGAAGAAGCACCGGCUAACUACGUGCCAGCAGCCGCCGUAA